rnacentral:snRNA from 1 species
ACCGCUGAAGUGACCCCU